GUAAAUCUACCAUCCGUAAGGGUUGUGUGCACCACAAAACCCUAGCUUCUCCUCUUCUCGCUGGGGUUUCCCUGCGCUCGAGACCACCGUGACAGAGAGCAGAAGCCUCGCACCGCCUCUCGCCGCCGUCGCUUCCGCCAUCCGCCACCGCAACUGCAGCCAUGGGCCGUAUGCACAGCCGCGGGAAAGGUAUCUCCUCUUCGGCGCUGCCCUACAAGAGGACUCCCCCGAGUUGGCUCAAGAUCUCCGCUCAGGACGUGGAGGAGAACAUCUGCAAAUUUGCGAAGAAGGGGUUGACGCCGUCUCAGAUUGGUGUCAUUCUCCGCGAUUCCCACGGUAUCGCGCAGGUUAAGAGCGUCAAUGGGAGCAAGAUCCUCAGGAUUCUCAAGGCUCACGGGCUUGCGCCGGAGAUUCCGGAAGAUCUGUACCACCUCAUCAAGAAGGCGGUGGCAAUCAGGAAGCACCUUGAGAGGAACCGGAAAGACAAGGAUUCCAAGUUCAGGUUGAUCCUGGUAGAGAGCAGGAUCCACCGCCUUGCCCGCUACUAUAAGAGGACCAAGAAGCUCCCGCCCGUCUGGAAGUAAGUUUUUCUAUGCAGGCAGCUUUCUAACCACCUAGGCUAUAUAAGGGUUUCAUAGCCUGGCCUCGCCUGCGCAAUUUGACAAUCUUGAGUGAAAUCAUAGGAGUGAUUCCUUGCCUUCACUUUCCCUUCCAAAACAAUCUCCAUCAAGUAUGGAGAGGGGAAAUGUUUUUGUUUGAGAGGGGAAAUGCUGCAAUGGACAUGUGAAGAUGACUCGGGUAGCAGCUCCAUAUUGGGUGGGCAUAUGGAUAAUGGAUUUUACAGCUGUAGAAGAGCUUCUAAUCGAGUCUACUACAGCGAGUACACUUGUUGCAUGAUAUGUGUGUAUUAAUUGGGCGUUUGCGGCAUCAUCAUCAGAACAAACUUCCUUUUGAAAUAGGUUAGGAACCAUUCGUCAUUAUUGUGUGUCAAAGAAGGGAACAACCCUCUUGAUGUUUGAAAUUAGUUUUCUAAUACCAGUUGUGUGCAUGUAGUUGAAUUAGUCAAUUAGAUUCUGAUGUUAUAAUCAGAUGUUUUGAAUGUUUUAAACAAGAUUUGGAUGUGACAUGUCAUCGUGUGAGUUGUGA